rnacentral:rRNA from 1 species
GAUGAACGCUGGCGGCGUGCCUAAUACAUGCAAGUCGAGCGAACAGACGAGGAGCUUGCUCCUCUGACGUUAGCGGCGGAUGGGUGAGUAACACGUGGAUAACCUACCUAUAAGACUGGGAUAACUUCGGGAAACCGGAGCUAAUACCGGAUAAUAUAUUGAACCGCAUGGUUCAAUAGUGAAAGACGGUUUUGCUGUCACUUAUAGAUGGAUCCGCGCCGCAUUAGCUAGUUGGUAAGGUAACGGCUUACCAAGGCAACGAUGCGUAGCCGACCUGAGAGGGGGAUCGGCCACACGGGAACUGAGCCAGGGGCCAGACUCCUACGGGAGGCAGCAGUAGGGAAUCUUCCGCAAGGGGCGAAAGCCUGACGGAGCAACGCCGCGUGAGUGAUGAAGGUCUUCGGAUCGUAAAACUCUGUUAUUAGGGAAGAACAAAUGUGUAAGUAACUAUGCACGUCUUGACGGUACCUAAUCAGAAAGCCACGGCUAACUACGUG